AGAGAGGCGUUUUCAAACUUUUCAUUUUCAUUCUUGUGGGCCUGUGUGGAUGUGACCGCACAUCGCAUAUUUGCUGACCACCAAGAGCCGUGUUAACUUUAUCCACACUCCAUAUGGCCAGUUGUUGAGGAAUUUUCGGCACGGGUUGAACACCUCAUGUUAUCAUUUUAUUUUCUCGUAUAAUUCUGUUAUUAUUGAGAGGAAAUUAAGAAAUAUCUUAUAUUAGAAAAGUUACAAAUGUUUGUUUUAUUCAAAGUUGGUAUACUUUUCAUUGUCAAUUUGUUUUGGGAUGGAAUCUACUUUCUAUUUGGAAUUAAAGUAGGUUAACUUAUAUAUGAAGCUUAACAGUCAUACAUGCUCCACGUUACCCAUUUUAGUGAUGGAUGAGCCACAAGCCAAGGCUUCCCCUUACCCC
rnacentral:lncRNA from 1 species